ensembl:lincRNA
CGCGGCGGAGCCGCGGGGGGCGCGCUGCGGCCCAGGUAGGCUGCUAGGAGGCCUCCUAAGUUCGCGCGAGCUCAAGUUCCCGCGCCCGCCCUCCAAGGUCCAGCUCUGCGGCCCUCGGGUGAGGUUGGGGAAAAAGGAGGGUCUUGGAGCAGCGCGAGGAGGACGGAAACAGGAGGAGCCACUCUGGUCCUCGCUUCAGGUGAUGGUCACUGGUCCUGGGAAGUUGCGGGCGAUCUUGCUGCUGGGUGGGCACGAGCACCGGGACGAGGGCACAGGCUUCCUGGUGUACAUUUAUGCGCCAUAGCCCACGGGCUGUGCUUUAGGGACACUAAAGGACACUUACUUAUAUGUAAAGCAGGUUUGAUUUCAUUCCCUAAAGGGUGCACCAAGGUCUGUAGCAAGCUCAGGUGAGGUUGUGGGAUUCCCACGGUGGUGGCUUUUUGCUACUGGUCGAUUUGCAUUACAAAGGCCGUUUACAUUUAGUUCUCUUACAGAAGUAGUCAAGCUCAGUAUUUCACAGGUAAAUUUCGAAGCAUAUUAUUAACAACUUCCUGUCAUAGGCUUGCUCAACUGGUUUCAAACUGAUUACUGUUUUAAGGCAGUUUUCGACUACUUUAUGACAGGGCCAAUUAGAAAUAAUCUUGGGAAAAUGCUUCGAAAACGCUGCGUUAUUAAAACACUCACCUAACAAUAUUCAUUUGGUUCUGUCACUAAGUAGCUGUCUGACGGAUACCUUGUGUUCUCAGAGUUUCUUUUAAUAGUCACUGGCCCUGGGAAAACAAGCUAUCAGGAGAAUUUUAACUACAACCUGGGUCUUGGAAUUAUUUUAUUUUAUUUUACUUUAUUUUUUUAGUUUUGGAUUCAAAUUUGACAAGGUUAAAAUGUUUAUAUCUUAUAUAAUUGCUAGUGGGAGACUGGAAAUAACUAUAGAUGCUAAUCACUAUAACAAUUGGUGAAAACUUGUAAAUGAACCUCUUCGGAAAAGGAAUGUGUGCAAAUAAUAAUAAUUAUAAUGGUAAUAAUAAUAAUAAUAAUAAACACUUUCUCUGAAUCAGUCCACAAAAAUGAUUUAUAGAAUAUUACCCAGAAUAUCUCUCAAAUCUUUGCCUUUUAGGGGAAAAAAUAUAAUCUACAUAUAUAAUCAUAUGUACACAUAUAUAAAUAUGAGUGAAAUGUAGUGGAUUUGAAGAAUUUCAGUAAGUAUGAUUAAGAAAUAUUUUCCCUGAGUAAAUAUUUCAAAUGUAAUUAAUUUAUGCAUUUAUCGACCCUGAUCUAAUGAAAAAAAAACUUACUAUAAUUUAUCUGGAGGUAAUGCCUUCAUGAGGACAAUAAUAGAUUUAAUAUCAUUAAAAUUCAGAAUCUAUGCACUUACUUCCUGUCAGGACUAGAUUUCUUGUGUAGUAAUAAUAAAAGUGUACUUAGUCCUUAUUUUUAAUUCAGUGAGCAUUAUGAGGGUACCUGAAACUGUCACAUGAAUUUAACAGUCUUUGAGAGGAGCUCAAAUAAUGGAUUUUAGGCCUUAUUUUUAGAAAGCACAUAGUUUGUACACAGAAGCUGCUCAAUAUGUAUCAUUUUAAUGUAUUGAAUUAUUCUUGAACUAUAUGAUCUAUGUACUAAGUUAAGUUAGUAGUGGCUGACAAGAAUCUGAAGUUGGGGAUGUUGAGCAGUCUGGAAUAGUUUGAAAACUAUUUAGGAGCUUUAAAUAUAAAGUUAUCACCAUGACAAAUUCAUGAAAAGUGGCUUUGAAAAGACUGGAAGAAAAAUAAUUUGAUAGGUCUUCAUCUUUAAGGUCUGUACUACAUGCCUCUUGUGUGAUUCUGGUAGUGAAAAUAUCUAGACAGCAAGGAAAUAGGGAUUAAUUGGAUGAAUUCAUAUUUGCAUUGUUUUAUAAACUAACUCAUAUAACAAUUUGUAGGUACUUAGAUUAAUACAAAAAAUAACAAGUUUAGCUGUCCCCAAAUAAAGUUAGAAUUGCUGGGUAGCUUAGAUUUUCACACUUAAGUUUCAUGCUCAAUUAUAGUCUAAAAUCUGAGUUUGCAGAUAUGACAUGGGACUCUAGUGAUUCAAACAUCAUAGUACAAAUACUGCAUAUAUUUCUGCCAAAUUUGUCUCAGAUGGACUAGCUACUAAGGAAGAAUCCAUAGCAUGACUGAGCUAACAGAAACUGUGUUACCUUUCCAAUAGGUAAUACCUCCAUUUGCAUGCAGUGUUCACUGAUAAGAGAAAAGACUUGAAUUUCUGUCAUUUUUCUGGACACCAGCCUUAAGGUCUAUAUUGUCAGUUCAAAAUAGAACGAACAGUAAUUUAUGCUAACCAAUAAUAAUA